ACGCUGGCGGCGUGCUUAACACAUGCAAGUCGAACGAUGAAGCCUAGCUUGCUAGGUGGAUUAGUGGCGAACGGGUGAGUAAUACGUGAGUAACCUACCUUUAACUCUGGGAUAAGCCUGGGAAACUGGGUCUAAUACCGGAUACGACCAAUCUCCGCAUGGGGUGUUGAUGGAAAGCGUUAUGUAGUGGUUAUAGAUGGGCUCACGGCCUAUCAGCUUGUUGGUGAGGUAACGGCUCACCAAGGCGACGACGGGUAGCCGGCCUGAGAGGGUGACCGGCCACACUGGGACUGAGACACGGCCCAGACUCCUACGGGAGGCAGCAGUGGGGAAUAUUGCACAAUGGGCGCAAGCCUGAUGCAGCGACGCCGCGUGAGGGAUGACGGCCUUCGGGUUGUAAACCUCUGUUAGCAGGGAAGAAGAGAAAUUGACGGUACCUGCAGAGAAAGCGCCGGCUAACUACGUGCCAGCAGCCGCGGUAAUACGUAGGGCGCGAGCGUUGUCCGGAAUUAUUGGGCGUAAAGAGCUUGUAGGCGGUUUGUCGCGUCUGCUGUGAAAGGCCGGGGCUUAACCCCGUGUAUUGCAGUGGGUACGGGCAGACUAGAGUGCAGUAGGGGAGACUGGAAUUCCUGGUGUAGCGGUGGAAUGCGCAGAUAUCAGGAGGAACACCGAUGGCGAAGGCAGGUCUCUGGGCUGUAACUGACGCUGAGAAGCGAAAGCAUGGGGAGCGAACAGGAUUAGAUACCCUGGUAGUCCAUGCCGUAAACGUUGGGCACUAGGUGUGGGGGACAUUCCACGUUUUCCGCGCCGUAGCUAACGCAUUAAGUGCCCCGCCUGGGGAGUACGGCCGCAAGGCUAAAACUCAAAGAAAUUGACGGGGGCCCGCACAAGCGGCGGAGCAUGCGGAUU
rnacentral:rRNA from 1 species